rnacentral:ribozyme from 1 species
GUUGGCCUUUUGCUGGCAGCGCUUCUCUUUUGUUUCCUCUUUCCCCUUUUUUUUUCUACUCCUGCCUCUC